CUGUCCUUAAGGCUGAGGUAGUAGAUUGAAUAGUUGUGGGGUUCAUGUCCUCCUUUUGAGAUAACUAUACAAUCUACUGUCUUUCCAAAGGAAACAG
rnacentral:pre_miRNA from 1 species